rnacentral:rRNA from 1 species
GCACAAGCGGUGGAGCAUGUGGUUUAAUUCGACGCAACGCGCAGAACCUUACCAGCCCUUGACAUGUCCAGGACCGGUCGCAGAGAUGUGACCUUCUCUUCGGAGCCUGGAACACAGGUGCUGCAUGGCUGUCGUCAGCUCGUGUCGUGAGAUGUUGGGUUAAGUCCCGCAACGAGCGCAACCCCCGUCCUUAGUUGCUACCAUUUAGUUGAGCACUCUAAGGAGACUGCCGGUGAUAAGCCGCGAGGAAGGUGGGGAUGACGUCAAGUCCUCAUGGCCCUUACGGGCUGGGCUACACACGUGCUACAAUGGCGGUGACAAUGGGAUGCGAAGACGCAAGUCCUGGCAAAUCUCAAAAAGCCGUCUCAGUUCGGAUUGGGCUCUGCAACUCGAGCCCAUGAAGUUGGAAUCGCUAGUAAUCGUGGAUCAGCACGCCACGGUGAAUACGUUCCCGGGC